ensembl:lncRNA
UUUUUUCUGGUUUGUUUGAUAAUGUUUUUUGUUUUCAGAAGGAAAAGUCACUUUCACCUUGGUCAUUUACUCUGGGUGACGCAAUGCUGCUCUUACCCUCCAGAUGCUGGGACAGAGGUACCCUUCACAGUGGAAACGGCACCAACCAGUCAGACCCAACCCAAGAACAUGCCAGCCUCUUACAAGGAAAAGAAAAUAAAUAAUUAGGUGGUACAACUGGUAAAGAUUCUGCCUACCCAUGCAGGAGACAGAGACGUGGGUUCGAUCCUUGAGUGUCGAAGAUCCCCUGGAGAGGGAAGUGGCAACCCACUCCAGUUUCUCGCCUGGAAGAUUCCAUGGACAGAAGAACCUGGUGGGCUGCAGUCCGUGUCGUCGCAGAGAGUCAGACGCCACUGAGCACAGAUGCGCACACGCAGCAUGCUAUGGGG